CCUGUGCACAAUAAAAAUAAUAUAGCCGACAUGCCGACAUCAUCAUCGUCGUCGUCGUCCGUUUCGUUUUUACCGAAUAAAUCAAUCAAACAAUGGGAGGCAGGUAUCUCUGAUAUUAUUUCGUCGGGGGACACGUGUAUACAGGCACUUCUCUCUCUCUCUCUCUCUCUCUCGUUCUCUCUGUCUCUCUAUGUCGCGUAUAAUGUAAACACCGUGCAUUAUCGGUACGGACGAUCCUUCGCGAUUAUUGAAAAAAAAAACAAA